rnacentral:rRNA from 1 species
UAGUCCUAGCUGUAAACGAUGAGCACUGGGUUGAGGGGACUUCCACAUCCUCUCGGCCGUAGCGAAAGCGUUAAGUGCUCCGCCUGGGGAGUAUGGUCGCAGGGCUGAAACUCAAAGGAAUUGACGGGGGCUCACACAAGCGGUGGAGGAUGUGGCUUAAUUCGAGGCUACGCGAAGAACCUUAUCCUAGACUUGACAUGCUUGAAAAUCCCUAUGAAAGUAGAGAGUGCCCUUCGGGGAGCUCUUGCACAGGUGCUGCAUGGCUGUCGUCAGCUCGUGUCGUGAGAUGUCGGGUUAAGUCCCUUAACGAGCGAAACCCUUAUCUUUAGUUGCCAGCGGGUAAUGCCGGGGACUCUAAAGAGACUGCCGGUGUCAAACCGGAGGAAGGUGGGGAUGACGUCAAGUCCUCAUGGCCUUUAUGCCCAGGGCUACACACGUGCUACAAUGGUGCAUACAGCGGGAAGCGAAGUCGCGAGAUGGAGCUAAUCCCCUAAAGUGCAU